UACGGGGGGAGCAAGCGUUGUUCGGAUUUACUGGGCGUAAAGGGCGCGUAGGCGGUCAGUGCAAGUCAGUUGUGAAAUCUCCGGGCUUAACUCGGAAAGGUCAACUGAUACUGCUCGACUAGAGUGCGGAAGGGGCAACUGGAAUUCUUGGUGUAGCGGUGAAAUGCGUAGAUAUCAAGAGGAACACCUGCGGCGAAGGCGGGUUGCUGGGCCGACACUGACGCUGAUGCGCGAAAGCCAGGGGAGCGAAACGGG
rnacentral:rRNA from 1 species